UAUUAUUUAUCGUUAUUGUUAUGUAUUCUGUGUAAAAAAUGUAUGUGUAUACACGUUGUACCUAUAUACGGAUAAAAUGUUUCUUAACGAAAAAACAAAAGCAAUUUUAGGACAAUCCUUAAUACUAAAAUAAUAAACUCUUAUCACUACUACUUAUACUACUACUACUACUACUACUACUACCACUACCACCUACUACUACUAGUUACUAGUUUACUACUACUAUCAGUGCUUGAAUUGGAAAAAAAAAUGAAACCAAAACAGUGGAGUGUCCAGAAAUUUUCAAUAUUAGAGGAUGUAGUAAAAAAAAUAAUCAUAAAUUAAUCAUAGAACUUCUUCUACAUGCUCAGCCCGAAAAUUGGAAUUUAAAAGCUGGAUCCAAAAAAGGCAAUUUGUAUUUGAUAUAAAUUAAACUUUCUCUUUAACUUGAC